GGAUAUGUGGGUGAUCGGCUGUGACAUUUGUCACCUCACUGAUAUUGCCACGGUUGAGUAGUUGAUCUGGCUGGCUAGUGUUCCCUUCCUCCCUCACCACUCCAUGUGCGUCUCUGCCAAAGCCGUGUGCUUGUUCUACCACCUUUGAGAAGGGACUAUUUCCUCCAUCCAGGGUAUACCAGUAGCUGCACACCCCUGCUAUAACCUCCAAACAAGCUCCCAAGGUUCAUAAAGGCAUCUUUAGGUAUUUUUAAGUUUUGUUUUUUUAUCAGUAUAUGUUUGCAGUACGUGCGAUUAUAUUCGUU
ensembl:misc_RNA 7SK 7SK RNA